AUGUCUGUCUUUAAACUGCCAAAAGGGAUUUGUAAGUCCAUCACGGAUGAAAUUGCGGGAUUUUGGUGGGGGUAUGGAGGACAAACGAAAGAUGCAUGGUGGAAGCCGUGUAUCCCAAAGCAGAAAGGAGGCAUGGGGUUUAGCGACCUUCGCAGUUUUAAUCUUGCUAUGUUAGCAAAACAGUGUUGGCGACAGCUCCAGAACCCAGACUCUUUGAGUGCACGUGUUCUUAGUGCCAAAUAUUAUCCAAAUGGCGACAUUUUGAGUGCAGGUCCAAAGAAGGGAUCGUCAUAUACUUGGCAGAGUAUUGUCAAUGACAUUUAA
rnacentral:rRNA from 1 species